AAGUUGGUCAUUACACACGAGGCGAUAUUGUGCGCACGAGCUGUAAGCGAGCGCGCAAUAAGAAAGCCGAUGUGGGUAAUGACCAAUGCACACGUUUUAUACGACGUUUUUUAACACACUUGCGAAGAAAAAACAAAACUUAUAAAUUAGAUAUUUUUGUCAAAACAGUAAAAGUACAAUUUUCAAAAUUGUGGCUUACAGUUUUAAAUUACAGUUACAGCACCACAGCGUCCUGGGCUUGUAAGCACUUAUUCGAAUAUUUGAAGUAAGCUACCAACACGUUUUUCAAGAAAGGCUGGACGUUUUUGCUGAUUUUCCAUUGAAUAAAAGGUUCAUAUGCCGCCAAUUAUUUUUCACCCGAUUUUGAUUGUAAAAGGCUAUCGUUCUCGGCUCUUGCCUCUAUUUCUAUUACUGGCAGCGUCAAUAUUGUGUGUUCUUCAUUUUCAAUGCUUGAAAAUGACACUUUCGUCAAUAUAUAAACUAAAAACAUGCAAAACUAUUCCAAUUUUAUGACAAAUACGGAAAAUGGCUGGCGCUUUAUUUUUUUACGCGCGAUUCCAAUGCACGCGCAAGGCAAAGGCGCGAACGAAAUCGACAUACAGCCAAUUAAAAAAAAAUUAAAAAAGCUAAUUUUUCGUAUUUCUAUUCGACGGAUGGAGAACAAAUCGAUAAAAUGUUACUCGUAUGUUUAUUCAUUAACGUAAUUUACGAGGUAAUUUAAUCUAUAAAAUAUGUUUAGUGUGAUAAAACCUCUUUGAACGAACAUUUGAAACCUGAUAGUUGGUUAUAAAAAAUGUAUUACUCGACCAAAUUAAGAAGGCUCCGUUUCCAUGCAUAUCAUUGGCAAUCAGUUACCUUCUUAACUCAGUCGGAUAAUAUAAUGAAAAAGUAGGAGUGUUAUAAUAUACUGAAUAAGCACGCGUGUUUAAUAUCUAGGAUUAUGAGCCUCAAAUCGGUGGAAUAACAACGUCGUUUUGAGCAAGUGUGUUUAAAAAGUAAUACACAAAUGUAUAUUUUAAAUAAAUUAUUUUUAUUUUAUUAGAGUACUUUGGUGCAAUAAAGACCUAGUGUAGAUAGAUAGAAAAAUAGAUAGAAUACUCUUUAUUGGCACACCUCAGUAAAAAUAUACAAGAAAAAUAAACAAUUGAUUAAAUUUAGAGGCAGACAACAGGCGGUCUUAUGGCUAAAAAGCGAUCUCUUCCAGACAACCUUUGGGUAGCGGAAAUAGAGAAGUUAAUCGAAAAAGUAGGUGUUGCUAAACCGUUAUGAAGCCUACAUUCACACACACAAUUACAGUGAUUAAACAUACACAUAUAAGGAAUACAAAUAGACAUACAUAAACAUACAUUUAAAUAUAUAUAAAAUUAACCGAAACAUAGCUAAAUAUGACAGCAGCAUGUCAGCCACAGAGUUAAAAUAACUAUGUACUAUAUAAACACUAAGGGAGAGGUAAAUAAUGUUCUUUGAGUGAUUUUUUAAACACAGCAAGAGAUUGAGCGCAUCUAAUGCCAACGGUGCCUAAGUAGCUAACCUACCUAAGUUCUCCAGCCACUUUUUUUAUAAAGAUUUUUUUUUUAAAGUACAAAUGGAAAUAAACUUGAUAAUGAAAGUUAAAACACCUAUGUAGCUUAUUGUUAAAAACAAACACUGAUUUCUUUAAACGCUUUAUAAUGUUAAAAAAAGGUUUACUACUGGUGAACUAAGUUAGUCGGUCUGUAUUGUGUACUCUGCGGGGCAGAUUGAAACAAUUACGGGGCACUUUGAUUCACGCACCAUAUAGUACCCCAUAAUGAUGUAUCAAAGUGAUCCAUGCUAUGUACCAAAGUGCCCUGCAGGUGGGGCAGAAUGAAAAAAGAAACAUUUUUUUCACGUCAGCAGCUGGAACAAGGGUAAUUUGGUGCUUAAAAACAGUGAUCAAAAUCACAUUUUGCUCACUAAGUGAGACAAAAUAACAUUCAAGUGACCUUCAUAUUCGAAUCAACGUGCGGGGCCUAAUACAAGUUCGAAGUAUUUGGAUUCUAUUGUCUUUGUCCCUUUCACGUCAUUAGCAAAAAGAAAGAGGCAAAAAGUGCAUAUGUAAUUCAACAAUAUAUUGACGGUUUAUAAUAGACCCCCGAAAUAAGUCAGACCGCAUCGUUCCAAAACACCCUACGAGUCUUCAUUCGUUAUUAAUUAAUGAAAUAAAAGUUUAUAAUUUAAUAAAAAUACCAUUAAUUACGUAUUUUAUUAUACAAUCAAAACAAUAUACUUAUACAAAUUUACGCAAUUGUUAUGCAGUAAAUAAUUCUACUUAACGACUUUUAACGAUCUCUACUAUAGUUGACAAAUAGUAGUAUCCGCAAUUCGGACCGUAUCUUACAAAGUUUUUUUAACAAAAAAAGUUGACGAUUAAACUGUCAAUUGAUGUUCGUUAAUUCAUUAUUUUCGUAUCAUUUUAUUGAAAUUUCUUUCGUUUUGUUUUAUUGCGGUAAUUAAAGUUAAUUGUUAGAAUACCUUCAGAAAACAUGAGUGAAAUAGUGAUGAAGACGGAUUACAUUUUUUCAGGUUGUAUUUUUUGAUGGCUGACUGACGUGAAAAUUUUUGUGUACUACACGAGAUCAAAGUUAUUUACAUCUCGUGCGCUUUUGAGUACCUUGCAAGCGAAAGAUUCUAUAAUAGAUUCACGAGCGUAGCGAGUGAAUCUAAAUUAGAAUCUUGAGCGUAGUAAGGGACUCGCAGAACAAGCACUCGCAGAAAUAUCAAACUUUGCUCUCUUGUUGUACAAAUAACUAUUGUUAAAAUUCAUAUAUCUCUGUUACUGGGCCUAAAUUUAACAAAAAGAGAUAUAUUAUGUAUACAUCAGUAAAUUUGACUUCAAAGUAUAAAAAUAUUGUAUUUUGGGUAAAUUUUGGGGCCUAAAAUUAAUUUAAAAAAAAGGUGUACCAAAAUGCCCCGCAUCCCCCUAGGUGGUAAAUACAAAUAGUAAGUAAUAUUACCAGUAGAAACCGCUCAAUGCUUGUAAAUAUUGUAAUCAAUAAAAGAUAAAAGUAUAAGACAAGAAUUUGCCUAAACGUGAGCAAAUGCGCGAACGGUGAUCUCAGAUCAGGCCUGAUCACCUUGAGCGCGCGCCAACUGCUCACGUAGGGUCAGUGUAGCUACUGCGCAUCCUUUUCCUCGUUAGGCUAUUUUAUAUUUUACGUUUUCUGAACAAUUCCCACAAAACUCAUUCAACGUGUAUUAAAUAGACGCAGCGAUCAGUCGCGUUCGUGAUUAAAUUUUAAUCAAAAUUUAAUCAAAAUUUAAUUGGUUACGAAAGACAAACCUUGACUAAAGUUAUCGUUAAAGAAAAUCAAGAAAAGCGCAGCCGUCGCAAACGGCAACGGGACGAAUGACAAUUGCAUUAUAUUAUUGUUUUUGUAUCAUUAGUAUGCAAGAAAAGUCGCCAUGAGUAACCGUGCGGCAAGGUGCCACAAUUCUACCAACCUCUCUCUACCAAUUUACUUCAGGAAAACCAGUAUAAGUUAGGUCUCAGAUCAAGCAUACACAGUUGUUAAAUUAAAAUAGGGUAGAAAAAUUAUUCCCGUGCUGUCCAAGAGACGAGCUCGACACUUUUCGUGAACAAUGCGUCUGAGCCAUUUGCUGUCUCUUAUUUCGUUUGUUCACUGUAUAUUCGACAAAUAACUCCGAAGAUUCUAAUAGAUCCUAGACGGGUGGUGGAUGCUUCACCUAGUAGGUAAAUAUUUAGUAGUCACUCUGAACUGAGACCACACUCUUUUUUUCAGACCACACACUAAAUCUGAGGAAUUAAGAGCUGGGGAAGUGAGAGGAUGGACGCCGUGGCGACGGCCGGCGCGGAAGCGUGUAUUAUAACUUCGUAAUUUUAAGUUAUAGGCACUAUAUACUUACUUAAAUUAUAGUGUACUUAAUUAGGUACUUUAAUUUACUCUAGGGGUCAAGAAAAUGUAACAUGUUGUGAAAAGGAGGAGGAAGGAUUUUUCCACUUCUAAAUAUUCUUCAUUCUCCAUGAUUUUUUUGUAUGUUAUUGACACAAUGAAAAACUAGGUUUAUAGGUUUUCCUUUUUUUCUUAAAUUUGCGAAACCUAUAAACGUAGAAUAUAUUAUGCUGAAGCGAUCGACGUCAAAAUCAAAGCAAUUUGUUAAGAUUUACUUAGUGGAAACCAUGUUCUCCCGAAAUGAAAUUUCAUAGAAAAAUUACCGUUAUUUCAUUAGAUUAAAUUUGUAAAGCUAUCCUUUCCUCUUAACCAUAUCUGUUAAUGAAUAUGAUGAUUUUUUUAUUCACUAAUUAAUUUUGUAAUGAUGCUAUUAUGUAUUAAUAAAUCAAAUUCGAAAUUUCGUAAAAAAACAAAAUUGCCAAAUAUUUGAUGUGGCCAGGGGGGAGGGGGUCGCCAAAUGUGACCAGGGGCCCAUUUCUCGGACGGUAUUAGACUUAAUAUUAGUCCACGAACUGUCAAGUCGUAUGGGUUACCAUGGCAACACACUAAUAAUACGAGACUCAUACUGUUCCAGAAAUUGGCCCCAGGAGUGACAAGGCAGGGAGUGGUCAAAAAUUCAUAAAAUACCUGUACCGUACCUUGCUUCGUGUCGACGGCCAACGCGGAGGUGGGCAACGGAAUGCGGCUCGGCUCCGGCGCAGGUAACAGCGCUCUGUCUUUGUCUGUGGAGCGUGCGUGAACUGUAGGAGGCAGCACAGGAGCCGGCAGAUUUUUGGCGCGAGGCGUAAAUGUUACGUUUAUUGUGCCGGUGUAGCCCAGAAGAUGGCAGAAACUACUAUGCACAAGAAAACACGUGACGUGUAAAUGUACAUGUUUAUGGUUCCGAUUCAGGCCACAAGAUGGCAGAGUCUCCAACGCGCACGGUCCCUAUAGUUUGAGUCCCGUGACAGGACAUAGGAUAGUUUUUAUAACCAAAAUCAUCUUUUGAGGGUGUGAAAAGUGGGGUGUAAGUUUGUAUGUGGAAUCAAUAACCGUUGAACCGAUUUAGAUGAAAUUUGGGAUGAUCUACAUUUUUGAUUUAGUUGAAAAUGAUCAAACCUACUUAAGCAGUAUUAACCUCAGGAAUUCAGCUUCGACGAAGAAGCUGAAUUCACACCCCAUUUUACACCUUUAAUGGAUGAUUUUUGUGAUAAAAACUAUCUUAUGUCCUGUCUCGGGACCCAAAAUACUAAAUUUCAACUAAAUAGGUUCAUUGGUUUAAGCGUGAAGAGGAGUCUAAAAAAAAAUAGUACAUUGUGCAACGAGGGGGGGUAAGUGACAUUUUGGAUACGAGGGCGUUAUAUCUUUUUCUUUCACAAUCCAUAACUCCCAAGGGUACAAAAUACCCUUUCUCCUUCAGUACAUGAAAUAAGAUCUUUUUCGAGCAAGUGUGAUGUUUAAAGUUUAUGUUUUUACUUCGUAAUGGUGUCAAUGUGAGAUCAAGUUCUGACUAACUAAAUACCCUUUAUUAGCUAGUGUGGUGAAAAUGAAAAGGCUUAUAAUCACCUUUUUCUUGUCACCAUGUCUCUGAGUGACUGCGAAGUACUUUUUAGAGCUAGCAGAGGUGGAUAGGGGCAGCAAAAUCAGAAUAGCCUACAGGCGGUAAAUGUCUGAAUCCGCGGCGGAUCCGCUACUGAUAAUAUGUAUUAUAAUUUUCAACACACUUGCUCAGAGCGACGUUUUUAUUUCACCGAUUUUUCGCUCAUAAUCCUAGAUAUUAAACACAUGUGCUUUUUCAUUAUAACACUUGUGCUUUUUCAUUAUAUUGCUAAUAAUAAAAUGCAAGGAAACGGAGCCUUCUUAAUUUGGUCGAGUAAUACAUUUUUUUAACCAACUAUUAGGUUUUAAAUGUUAGUUCAAAGAGAUUUUAUCACA